AUAAAACAAUACUGAAGGAAAGCACUUUAAACCCUUCACUGACUAUCGCAAGGACAGAUCUGGAACAUCCAUGCUAUGGGAUGCCAAGGCUCCAGGAGAUCAAUUUCCAUGAAACUUUUUGCCUCAGGACUGAGGCCAAGCUUUUGGACUUGCCACACAGACUUCACUGGAGUGGGUGUGGCAUUACCUUAAAUACCUUUACCUAGUGAGCCAUUCUACUCACCUGCACUUACUCCUUACAGUCCAAACUGAAACCUAGCCAGUCAUCAGAGAAAUCAAAUAUAUGCUAAGCAGGGUAUCCAAAGAAUUUCUCAUGAGGAUCUCAAUGGUAGAGAACAAUUAUGACAAAAAAUAAUUAUAUUCUGAAAACACUUUGUCAUGCCUGGAGGGUUUUUAAAAAGGAAAAGUUCCAACCUAUACUUAGCAUGUUCUCCCAUCAGCUCUGUCCUGCUGACGUCAAACCUAGUCCUUUCCUUUCUUCUUCCCAUUCCCAGACACUGUCUCCAAAGGUUGCUCCCCACAGUUGUGAUGGAAAAGAAUCCAGAAAGGGGAGGUUAACUAUUUUGUUUAUCUAAUACUAAAUGAUCAGCCCUAAAAACACAUACAUGUAAUAGUAUCCAGACUGAACAGGUUAUAUAUAUAUAUAUGUGUGUGUGUGUGUGUGUGUGUGUGUGUGUAGUAACAGUUAAUGAUGAACGAGACCAUGAAAUUAGAAAGAGAGUAAGAAGGAUUGUGCAGGAAAGCUUGGAAGGGGGAAACAGAAGUGAUUAAUUAUAUGUUAAUAUCAAAAGUUAAAAGAAGUCUUCAAAUAUAUGGGUUAGAAAACCCUUGCUGUUUCUUAAACAUUCAUAUUCCACUUAUCCAUCCAUGGGUUUCUGGGCCUCAGGAUCAGAUUUAAUGCUUGGUUGUAAUGUCUGUUGUAGCUGGGAAGGGGGAUUCACAAAACACAAAGGUGCAGUAACACACUUAAGGAGCAGCACAUUGUUAAUCAGUGAAUAUUUAAAGCUGCACAAUGGUCUUCAUGAUAAUUCUGAGGGCUGAAUGCUUGUCAAACAGGAUUAAAUUGUCAUGGUUUAUACUUUGUAACAUUGUUGGCUACAAGCUUAUUCUCAAGAGCAUAAAGG
rnacentral:lncRNA from 1 species